GGUGGGAGCCGACACCCCAGACGGGACAGGCCCUGUGCCCAUCCCCUGUCUCCUUUCCGCAGGUUCGAGCGGUUCCAGCUGGCAUGUGGGGACGCCAAACUCUACGUGUGGGCUCACUCCUACCCCGACCAGGCCCUCUGCGGCGCCCGGCUCCCCGCCCCCCUGGAAUACAGGGGCACCAAUGUCACCCUGAGCUACAGGCGCAGCUGGACGGUGGCAGAAGGAUUCCAGCUCCGCUACAGGAGAGGUCCCCUCCUCUCUGCCUCACCUCCAUCUUGUAACCUGACGCUGGAUGAUUUCUAUGGCGUCUUCUCCCCGCCUGCCUGGCCUGGGGUUCCUGCUGGAGCCCUCAUCCGGUGCCGCUGGGCCCUGGACCCCCAUGACAGCCGCCCCCUCACUGUGCUCUUCACCACGCUGGACCUGGCUCCGACCGACUCCCUAGAGGUCUACGAGGAUCACCCAGACCUGUCGGCCGAGCCGCGGCUGCUGCGGCGCGUGGAUGCAGCCAGCAACGGCCAGCCAGUGGCGGUGGAGUCACCCUCCAGCCGAGCGUGGGUGGCCUGGCAGGGCCUGCAGGGCCGCGGCUUCAACGCCACCUACCACGUGCGUGGGUUCUGCGUGCCCUGGCAGCAGCCCUGCGGCCGGGGGGAUGAGGCCCGGUGCUAUGGUGAGGCGGAGUGCUGCGAUGGCAUCUGGCACUGCCCAGAUGGGGCGGAUGAGGAGCACUGCCCAGGCUGCCCAGAAGGGAGCUACCCCUGCCACGAUGGCGCUGGGGGCCCCUGCUACGCCCCCACUGACCGGUGCAACUACCAGACGCUGUGCCCGGAUGGGGCAGACGAGAGGGGCUGCUGGCGCUGCCAGCCCGGCAACUUCCGCUGCGGGGACGGGCGCUGCGUCUACGAGGCCUGGCGCUGCGACGGGCAGCCCGACUGUGCCGAUGCCUCCGACGAGGCCUCCUGCCCCUACACUCUGCCCCGCAAGGUGGUGGCAGCUGCAGCCAUCGGCAGCCUGGUCUGUGGCCUCCUGCUGGUCAUCGCGCUGGGCUGCACCUGCCGCCUCUACGCCGUGCGCAGCCGGGAGUACAGCCUCUUCGCCCCCCUGUCCCGCAGCGAUGCCCAGCUGGUCCGGCAGGAGGCGCCACCGUCCUACGGGCAGCUCAUUGCACAGGGGCUGGUCCCACCCCUCGAGGACUUCCCCACCGAAAGCCCCGGGCAGACGUCGCUGUUGGGGAAUCUACGCUCUCUGCUCCAUCUGCUCCAGCAC
rnacentral:lncRNA from 1 species